AGGGGUGUAGCUCAAUUCGGGAGAGCAAUUGGCAUUUUAAGAAUGCUGGUGGUUGCGGGUUCAACUCCUGUCACUCCUAC
rnacentral:tRNA from 1 species